UGAUGAAGAACGUAUCGAAAUGCGAUACGUAAUGUGAAUUGCAGAAUUCAGUGAAUCAUCGAGUCUUUGAACGCACAUUGCGCCCCCUGGUAUUCCGGGGGGCAUGCCUGUCCGAGCGUCAUUGCUGCCCUCAAGCACGGCUUGUGUGUUGGGCCUCCGUCCUCCUCCCGGGGGACGGGCCCGAAAGGCAGCGGCGGCACCGCGUCCGGUCCUCGAGCGUAUGGGGCUUCGUCACCCGCUCUUGUAGGCCCGGCCGGCGCUUGCCGACACAUCAAUCUUUUUUCCAGGUUGACCUCGGAUCAGGUAGGGAUACCCGCUGAACUUAAGCAUAUCAAUAAGCGGAGGA
rnacentral:misc_RNA from 1 species